UUGUAAUAGACAUACUGUUUUCAAUAAGUACAAAUCUGCUCUUUUAAUGCUGUUUAUUAUUUGAUGCCAUAAGAAGUAAUUCAAUGUAGUUUUGAACAAAGUAAAUAUUAGUAGGAUUCUUUUUUUUUUUUUUGCCUAGUGUGUGGCUAAACUAUCUUCAUCAGCUCCUGUUCAUUGCUCAUAAGAUUAAAUUGUCUUUAUCAAGAAAAAAGUGACUUAAAAUUGAAUAAUGUUGUUUUCUGGGGAAAAGUAUUUCUCAUUCUGAAUUAAUGUCUGUAGGAAAGGAGAAAAAACAUCCUGUUGGCUUGUUAAUAGUCGUGUCUUUUAAAACACAUACGUGUGCAGACCCACCUCGAAAACCCCACCAAGUACCACAUACAGCAAGCCCAACGGCAGCAGGUAAAGCAGUACCUUUCUACCACUUUAGCAAAUAAACAUGCCAACCAAGUCCUGAGCUUGCCAUGUCCAAACCAGCCUGGCGAUCAUGUCAUGCCACCGGUGCCGGGGAGCAGCGCACCCAACAGCCCCAUGGCUAUGCUUACGCUUAACUCCAACUGUGAAAAAGAGGGAUUUUAUAAGUUUGAAGAGCAAAACAGGGUGGAGAGCGAGUGCCCAGGCAUGAACACACAUUCACGAGCGUCCUGUAUGCAGAUGGAUGAUGUAAUCGAUGACAUCAUUAGCCUAGAAUCAAGUUAUAAUGAGGAAAUCUUGGGCUUGAUGGAUCCUGCUUUGCAAAUGGCAAAUACG
rnacentral:sRNA from 1 species